GACGAGGUGGCUUAUAAUGGAUUAACGCGUUGGACUCCGAAUCCAGUGGUCCGGGUUCAAGCCAUGGCCGGGGUCA